GUAGGGUGCAAGCGUUGUCCGGAUUUACUGGGGGGCGUAAAGGGGUUCGUAGGCGUAUUCGUAAGUCACUUUUCAAAGACCGGGGCUUAACUUCGGAAAGGGGAGUGAUACUGCAAAUAUUGAAGAAUGUAGGGGUUACCGGAACUGUCGGUGUAGGAGUGAAAUCCGUUGAUAUCGAUAGGAACACCGAGGGCGAAGGCAGGUAACUGGGCAUUUCUUGACGCUGAGGAACGAAAGCUAGGGUAGCGAAAGGGAUUAGAGACCCCUGUAGUCCUAGCCGUAAACGAUGCUCGCUAGGGAUUGGGAGCUUGCUCUCAGUUCCGCAAGCUAACGCGUGAAGCGAGCCGCCUGGGGAGUACGAUCGCAAGAUUA
rnacentral:rRNA from 1 species